CUACGUGCCAGCAGCCGCGGUCAUACGUAGGAUCCGAGCGUUAUCCGGAGUGACUGGGCGUAAAGAGUUGCGUAGGUGGUUCGAUAAGCGAAUAGUGAAAUCUGGUGGCUCAACCAUUCAGACUAUUAUUCGAACUGUUGAACUCGAGAGCAGAAGAGGUAGCUGGAAUUUCUAGUGUAGGAGUGAAAUCCGUAGAUAUUAGAAGGAACACCGAUGGCGUAGGCAGGCUACUGGGCUGUUUCUGACACUGAGGCACGAAAGCGUGGGGAGCGAACCGGAUUAGAUACCCGGGUAGUCCACGCCGUAAACGAUGGAUACUAGCUGUUUGGGGUAUCGACCCCCUGAGUAGCGAAGCUAACGCGUUAAGUAUCCCGCCUGUGGAGUACGAUCGCAAGAUUAAAACAUAAAGGAAUUGACGGGGACCCGCACAGGCGGUGGAUCAUGUUCUUUAAUUCGAUGAUAACCGAUAAACCUUACCAGGUCUUGACAUCC
rnacentral:rRNA from 1 species